ACACGACUACAUUAGAUACCCCGGUAGUCCCAGCCCUAAACGAUGCGCGUUAGGUGUAUCGGUGACCACGAGUCACCGAGGUGCCGAAGGGAAACCGUGAAACGUGCCGCCUGGGAAGUACGGUCGCAAGGCUGAAACUUAAAGGAAUUGGCGGGGGAGCACCACAACGGGUGGAGCUUGCGGUUUAAUUGGAUUCAACGCCGGAAAUCUUACCGGGACCGACAGCAACAUGAAGGCCAAGCUGAAGACUUUGCCGGAUUAGCUG
rnacentral:rRNA from 1 species